AGCGUCUGGAAAGGCGCGCGAUACAGGGUGACAGCCCCGUACACAAAAAUGCACAUGCUGUGAGCUCGAUGAGUAGGGCGGGACACGUGGUAUCCUGUCUGAAUAUGGGGGGACCAUCCUCCAAGGCUAAAUACUCCUGACUGACCGAUAGUGAACCAGUACCGUGAGGGAAAGGCGAAAAGAACCCCGGCGAGGGGAGUGAAAAAGAACCUGAAACCGUGUACGUACAAGCAGUGGGAGCACGCUUAGGCGUGUGACUGCGUACCUUUUGUAUAAUGGGUCAGCGACUUAUAUUCUGUAGCAAGGUUAACCGAAUAGGGGAGCCGAAGGGAAACCGAGUCUUAACUGGGCGUUAAGUUGCAGGGUAUAGACCCGAAACCCGGUGAUCUAGCCAUGGGCAGGUUGAAGGUUGGGUAACACUAACUGGAGGACCGAACCGACUAAUGUUGAAAAAUUAGCGGAUGACUUGUGGCUGGGGGUGAAAGGCCAAUCAAACCGGGAGAUAGCUGGUUCUCCCCGAAAGCUAUUUAGGUAGCGCCUCGUGAAUUCAUCUCCGGGGGUAGAGCACUGUUUCGGCAAGGGGGUCAUCCCGACUUACCAACCCGAUGCAAACUGCGAAUACCGGAGAAUGUUAUCACGGGAGACACACGGCGGGUGCUAACGUCCGUCGUGAAGAGGGAAACAACCCAGACCGCCAGCUAAGGUCCCAAAGUCAUGGUUAAGUGGGAAACGAUGUGGGAAGGCCCAGACAGCCAGGAUGUUGGCUUAGAAGCAGCCAUCAUUUAAAGAAAGCGUAAUAGCUCACUGGUCGAGUCGGCCUGCGCGGAAGAUGUAACGGGGCUAAACCAUGCACCGAAGCUGCGGCAGCGACGCUUAUGCGUUGUUGGGUAGGGGAGCGUUCUGUAAGCCUGCGAAGGUGUGCUGUGAGGCAUGCUGGAGGUAUCAGAAGUGCGAAUGCUGACAUAAGUAACGAUAAAGCGGGUGAAAAGCCCGCUCGCCGGAAGACCAAGGGUUCCUGUCCAACGUUAAUCGGGGCAGGGUGAGUCGACCCCUAAGGCGAGGCCGAAAGGCGUAGUCGAUGGGAAACAGGUUAAUAUUCCUGUACUUGGUGUUACUGCGAAGGGGGGACGGAGAAGGCUAUGUUGGCCGGGCGACGGUUGUCCCGGUUUAAGCGUGUAGGCUGGUUUUCCAGGCAAAUCCGGAAAAUCAAGGCUGAGGCGUGAUGACGAGGCACUACGGUGCUGAAGCAACAAAUGCCCUGCUUCCAGGAAAAGCCUCUAAGCAUCAGGUAACAUCAAAUCGUACCCCAAACCGACACAGGUGGUCAGGUAGAGAAUACCAAGGCGCUUGAGAGAACUCGGGUGAAGGAACUAGGCAAAAUGGUGCCGUAACUUCGGGAGAAGGCACGCUGAUAUGUAGGUGAAGUCCCUCGCGGAUGGAGCUGAAAUCAGUCGAAGAUACCAGCUGGCUGCAACUGUUUAUUAAAAACACAGCACUGUGCAAACACGAAAGUGGACGUAUACGGUGUGACGCCUGCCCGGUGC
rnacentral:rRNA from 1 species